GGAAGAGUGCCGGAGCCUGGCUUAACGGGGCCGCCUGCUAAGCGGUAUGCUCCUUCGGGGGUGCAGGAGUUCGAAUCUCCUCUCUUCCUCCA
rnacentral:tRNA from 1 species